rnacentral:rRNA from 1 species
ACACUGUACGAGUUUGAUCCUGGCUCAGAACGAACGCUGGCGGCAGGCUUAACACAUGCAAGUCGAACGCCCCGCAAGGGGAGUGGCAGACGGGUGAGUAACGCGUGGGAACGUACCUUUCAGUUCGGAAUAACUCAGGGAAACUUGUGCUAAUACCGGAUACGCCCGCAAGGGGAAAGAUUUAUCGCUGAAAGAUCGGCCCGCGUUGGAUUAGCUUGUUGGUGGGGUAACGGCCUACCAAGGGUACGAUGGGUAGCUGGUCUGAGAGGAUGAUCAGCCACACUGGGACUGAGACACGGCCCAGACUCCUACGGGAGGCAGCAGUGGGGAAUAUUGGACAAUGGGGGAAACCCUGAUCCAGCUACGCCGCGUGGGUGAUGAAGGCCUUCGGGUUGUAAAGCCCUGUCGAGGGGGACGAAGUUCUGACGGUACCCCCUCAAGAAAGCACCGGCUAACUCCGUG